GACGAACGCUGUCGGCGUGCUUAACACAUGCAAGUCGAACGGAAAGGCCCUGCUUUUGUGGGGUGCUCGAGUGGCGAACGGGUGAGUAACACGUGAGUAACCUGCCCUUGACUUUGGGAUAACUUCAGGAAACUGGGGCUAAUACCGGAUAGGAGCUCCUGCUGCAUGGUGGGGGUUGGAAAGUUUCGGCGGUUGGGGAUGGACUCGCGGCUUAUCAGCUUGUUGGUGGGGUAGUGGCUUACCAAGGCUUUGACGGGUAGCCGGCCUGAGAGUGUGACCGGCCACAUUGGGACUGAGAUACGGCCCAGACUCCUACGGGAGGCAGCAGUGGGGAAUAUUGCACAAUGGGCGGAAGCCUGAUGCAGCAACGCCGCGUGCGGGAUGACGGCCUUCGGGUUGUAAACCGCUUUCGCCUGUGACGAAGCGUGAGUGACGGUAAUGGGUAAAGAAGCACCGGCUAACUACGUG
rnacentral:rRNA from 1 species